rnacentral:rRNA from 1 species
AAAUUGAAGAGUUUGAUCAUGGCUCAGAUUGAACGCUGGCGGCAGGCCUAACACAUGCAAGUCGAACGGUAGCACAGAGAGCUUGCUCUCGGGUGACGAGUGGCGGACGGGUGAGUAAUGUCUGGGAAACUGCCCGAUGGAGGGGGAUAACUACUGGAAACGGUAGCUAAUACCGCAUAACGUCGCAAGACCAAAGAGGGGGACCUUCGGGCCUCUUGCCAUCGGAUGUGCCCAGAUGGGAUUAGCUAGUAGGUGGGGUAACGGCUCACCUAGGCGACGAUCCCUAGCUGGUCUGAGAGGAUGACCAGCCACACUGGAACUGAGACACGGUCCAGACUCCUACGGGAGGCAGCAGUGGGGAAUAUUGCACAAUGGGCGCAAGCCUGAUGCAGCCAUGCCGCGUGUAUGAAGAAGGCCUUCGGGUUGUAAAGUACUUUCAGCGAGGAGGAAGGUGUUGAGGUUAAUAACCUCAGC